rnacentral:rRNA from 1 species
CGGCCGCGUCGACCGAGCGCAACCCUUUCCUUAUUGCCAGCGGGUUAAGCCGGGAACUUUAAGGAUACUGCCAGUGACAAACUGGAGGAAGGCGGGGACGACGUCAAGUCAUCAUGGCCCUUACGACCAGGGCUACACACGUGCUACAAUGGUCGGUACAAAGGGUUGCUACCACGCGAGUGGAUGCUAAUCUCAAAAAGCCGAUCGUAGUCCGGAUUGGAGUCUGCAACUCGACUCCAUGAAGUCGGAAUCGCUAGUAAUCGCGGAUCAGAAUGCCGCGGUGAAUACGUUCCCGGGCCUUGUACAC